rnacentral:rRNA from 1 species
UACGGAGGGAGCUAGCGUUGUUCGGAAUCACUGGGCGUAAAGGGUGCGUAGGCGGCGUGGUAAGUCAGUUGUGAAAGGCCGGGGCUCAACCCUGGUAUUGCAACCGAUACUGCCGUGCUGGAGUGCUGGAGGGGAGUCUGGAAUUCACGGUGGAGCAGUGAAAUGCGUAGAUAUCGUGAGGAACACCAGUGGCGAAGGCGAGACUCUGGACAGCAACUGACGCUGAGGCACGAAGGCUAGGGUAGCGAACGGG